AUUGAACGCUGGCGGCAGGCCUAACACAUGCAAGUCGAACGAGUGGCGGACGGGUGAGUAAUGUCUGGGAAACUGCCUGAUGGAGGGGGAUAACUACUGGAAACGGUAACUAAUACCGCAUACCAUCAGAUGUGCCCAGAUGGGAUUAGCUAGUUGGUGGGGUAACGGCUCACCAAGGCGACUAUCCCUAGCUGGUCUGAGAGGAUGACCAGCCCAACGGGAACUCAGAAACGGUCCAGACUCCUACGGGAGGCAGCAGGGGGGAUGAUUGCACAAUGGGCGAAAGCCUGAUGCAGCCAUGCCGCGUGUAUGAAGAAGGCCUUCGGGUUGUAAAGUACUUUCAGCGGGGAGGCGUUACCCGCAGAAGAAGCACCGGCUAACUCCGUGCCAGCAGCCGCGGUAAUUC
rnacentral:rRNA from 1 species